rnacentral:rRNA from 1 species
UACGUAGGGUGCGAGCGUUGUCCGGAAUUAUUGGGCGUAAAGAGCUCGUAGGCGGUUUGUCGCGUCGGCCGUGAAAACUGGAGGCUUAACCUUCAGCUUGCGGUUGAUACGGGCAGACUUGAGUUCGGUAGGGGAGACUGGAAUUCCUGGUGUAGCGGUGAAAUGCGUAGAGAUCGGGAGGAACACCGGCGGCGAAGGCGGCUGCCUGGACCGGCCCUGACGCUGAGGCGCGAAAGCUAGGGGAGCAAACAGG